rnacentral:rRNA from 1 species
ACGUAGGAUGCGAGCGUUGUCCGGAAUCACUGGGUGUAAAGGGAGCGCAGGCGGUUUAGCAAGUCAUUGGUGAAAUUCCCAGGCUCAACCUGGGGGCUGCCAAUGAUACUGCUGAUCUUGAGUGUGGAAGAGGUAGAUGGAAUUCCUGGUGUAGCGGUGAAAUGCGUAGAUAUCAGGAAGAACACCGAUGGCGAAGGCAGUCUACUGGUCCAUUACUGACGCUCAUGCUCGAAAGCGUGGGGAUCAAACAGGAUUAGAUACCCUGGUAGUCCACGCCCUAAACGAUGGAUACUCGAUGUCGUGCCGCAAGGCUCGGUGUCUAAGCAAACGCAGUAAGUAUCCCACCUGGGAAGUACGAUCGCAAGGUUG